rnacentral:rRNA from 1 species
UACAGGGGGUGCAAACGUUGCUCGGAAUCAUUGGGCGUAAAGCGCACGUAGGCGGUCUGUUAUGUCGGAUGUGAAAGCCCUUGGCUUAACUGAGGAAGUGCACCCGAAACUGGCAGGCUAGAGUACUAAAGAGGGUCGCGGAAUUCCCGGUGUAGAGGUGAAAUUCGUAGAUAUCGGGAGGAACACCAGAGGCGAAGGCGGGCUACUGGGCUGAUACUGACGCUGAUGCGCGAAAGCCAGGGGAGCAAACGGG